UUUAAUUCGAAGCAACGCGAAGAACCUUACCAGGUUCUUGACAUCCCUGACAACCGAGAGAUCGGGCGUUCCCCCUUCGGGGGACAGGGUGACAGGUGGUGCAUGGUUGUCGUCAGCUCGUGUCGUGAGAUGUUGGGUUAAGUCCCGCAACGAGCGCAACCCUCGACCUUAGUUGCCAGCAUUCAGUUGGGCACUCUAAGGUGACUGCCGGCUAAAAGUCGGAGGAAGGUGGGGAUGACGUCAAAUCAUCAUGCCCCUUAUGACCUGGGCUACACACGUGCUACAAUGGGCGGUACAAAGGGUCGCGAACCCGCGAGGGGGAGCCAAUCCCAAAAAGCCGCUCUCAGUUCGGAUUGCAGGCUGCAACUCGCCUGCAUGAAGCCGGAAUCGCUAGUAAUCGCGGAUCAGCAUGCCGCGGUGAAUACGUUCCCGGGCCUU
rnacentral:rRNA from 1 species